rnacentral:rRNA from 1 species
UACGUAGGGGGCGAGCGUUGUCCGGAAUCAUUGGGCGUAAAGCGCGUGUAGGCGGCCCGGUAAGUCCGCUGUGAAAGUCCAGGGCUCAACCCUGGGAUGCUGGUGGAUACUGUCGGGCUCGAGUCCGGAAGAGGCGAGUGGAAUUCCUGGUGUAGCGGUGAAAUGCGCAGAUAUCAGGAGGAACACCAAUGGCGAAGGCAGCUCGCUGGGACGUGACUGACGCUGAGACGCGAAAGCGUGGGGAGCAAACAGG